rnacentral:rRNA from 1 species
ACCUGCAGAUGGAUCAUUUGAAAAAGAAAAUAAUUUGGCUUUCUUUGGCUUUGAGGUGUGGCUUCGCACCUGACUAACUAAAAUUGAGCUACCCAUUUUUACACGGUUGCAUUGGUCAGGCUGUCAAACAGCGCCGCGGUCAAACGCGGUUAGCUGGGUGAACGCCUGUCAAACCAAUUUUGAAUUCACACUUUGGAAUGAUAGGAUUUUGGCAUGUCAUUUGGGAUGAAAGCGACUGGUAAUGCGGUCGUUGAAAUUGAAAAAACAACUUUUGGCAACGGAUCUCUUGGUUCUCCCAUCGAUGAAGAACGCAGCGAAUUGCGAUAAGUAAUGUGAAUUGCAGAAGUGAAUCAUCGAAUCUUUGAACGCAUCUUGCGCUCCCGGCAGAUCUAAUCUGGGGAGCAUGCCCGUCUGAGGGCCGCGAAUUGUUUCGAACGUUGGCUUUUUUCGUAAGAGAAUAGCUGACGGAUCGGUAUUGAGGGUUUUGCCAUUUACAGUGGCUCUCUCGAAAUACAUUAGCAUGACAUUGAUAAUUUAUUAUAAUUUCGAGUUGGUGAUUGGCCAGCCGGGUUUUGAUAACAUCAAGGCUUCGGUGGCAAGACAUCACUUGAAAAAAAGUUCAUCGCUUCUAAACGCGCCCUUACUUGCCAUUAGGAAGUAAUGGGAUCAUUUUUAAUUCAUCGGCCUCAGAUCGGUAG